UACGGGGGGGGGCAAGCGUUGUUCGGAAUUACUGGGCGUAAAGGGCUCGUAGGUGGCCAACUAAGUCAGACGUGAAAUCCCUCAGCUUAACUGGGGAACUGCGUCUGAUACUGGAUGGCUUGAGUUUGGGAGAGGGAUGCGGAAUUCCAGGUGUAGCGGUGAAAUGCGUAGAUAUCUGGAGGAACACCGGUGGCGAAGGCGGCAUCCUGGACCAACACUGACGCUGAGGCACGAAAGCGUGGGGGAGCA
rnacentral:rRNA from 1 species